ensembl:lncRNA
AUGGCCCGGCCUGGGUCUCGGGGGAGGGAUCCUGCCUCCGUGCGAGCGCGAGGCCACGUGGCGGAGUCCGCAGGGACACGGGGGACGGGAAGAUGUGGAGGCUGCAGUGUGCUGGUUAUCACCCGCGCCAGGGCCGUGCCGGCUCACCCUUGUUUGCUCGGUGCGUCAGGAGGCGGGCAUGCCAUCUGGCACGGGCCGCGGCGCCCGUGGAGGGGAGCAGCACCCUGGCUUCCUGGGGGUGCUGGGGCUGCCGGCGAUCCCGCGCGCCUUCCUCCCAAGACCUCGUCCCCUCCUGCCCAGCCAAGGCUCCUUACCGCGUCCAGGGCUGAGCAGCGCCGGGGACGCCGGGUUGGUCCAUCGCGGUCCCCUGGACGCGGGCUCCUGUGUCGGGCUUUGGGGCGGCCUUGGGGUGGCUGCCCAGGCUCUAGCCCUCGGCCUGCGGGCUCCCCGCCAGGCGUCCGGGACGCGUGUAGCUGUCCCUUCACUCCCCACUCACCUUCCCAACCCCCUUUCCCACCAAGCCCCUGUGGCAGGUCGGUCCUCCGUGGUCUGCACAGGGCGUGCUUCUGCAGCUGCUCUGUCCCCAGGGUCCCUUUGGCCUCCUGCUGCUUACUGUCCCUUCUGGGGACAGCGCGCUGUGACCAGCUCCGUGCCGUGCUGUCCCGCCCUCCCCCUGCCCCACCUGAAUCCCUCAGCUUUGUGCUUUCAUGCGCACGUGUGGCUGUCGUCACCGUCCGUGGUGUUGAGGGGUGUGGGCCUCAGGGCAGCCGCUGCUGGGUGGGAUUUGGGGUUCUGCUGGGGGGGGUGGAGGGCGGAGCCGUCAGGGCUGGAGGGAAUCGGAAGGCGGCCGGCCUGCGGACCCCGGGUGUGUCAGAGCCAGGUGGUGCCCUCCAGGGCCGUGGGGGUGCGGUGGGGCCCCUGCGGGCGCGGCGGCAAGGCUCUGGGCGCCAGCCUGUCCUCUCUGCGCUUUUGUUGAGGGACAGUUGUGUGUCGCACGGCUCACCCUGCACAAGCGUGCGGCUUAGUGACUUAGGGCAGUGCUGGCAGUUGUGUGACUCUCCUCAUGCUCAUUUUACGGCAGGUGCCCCCUGCCCAUGGCAGCCCUCGGUGCCACGGCUCUGCGUCCUGUCUCCAGAACUUCGCCCCCAGCACCCACCUUGUGUGGUGGAACCGCACGGCCUGUGGUCCUUGGGCCUGGCAUCGGUAUCCUGCCCGCGCAGCUGUUUGUCUCAGCAGUUCUGUGCCUUCUUAGGGUCGAGUGGGUUCCGGAAGGUGUGCGCCCUGCAGCGUGUCCGCUCCCCGGUUGAUGGAUGUGGUAUAGUUUCUGAUUUGAGCUACGUGAUCGAUCAUCUCUGCCUCUGGUUGUGUGGUCAGCGGACACUGGUUCUGUGGGCAGUGCCCACCUGUUCCAAGCAGCUGCACCAUUCCACGUGCCCUGGCCGCGUGGGGCUGAGGCUCUCCGUGUGGGUCGGCCACUGCAGGUGUGGUGGAGAUGGCCUGUGCACGUUCUGGCCCCUGGCUUUAAAAACAGGCGGCUGCGGUGGUCCUGUGGGUACCGUGAUUAUGAUGGUAAUGGUACUCGGCAGGCUGUUGACUGGGAGCGGCUCCUCUGGGGCUCUUGCACUUCUGCUCACCCCCUUGGGACAGGCACACCGGAUGCUGGGACCUCCCUAG